rnacentral:rRNA from 1 species
UACGGAGGGUGCAAGCAUUAAUCGGAUUUAUUGGGCGUAAAGGGCGCGUAGGCGGAGAUAAUAGUCAGAUGUGAAAUCCUGGGGCUCAACCUCAGAACUGCAUUUGAAACUGUAUCUCUAGAGGGUAGGAGGAGAAAACGGAAUUCCACAAGUAGCGGUGAAAUGCGUAGAUAUGUGGAAGAACACCGGUGGCGAAGGCGGGUCUCUGGACAGUUCCUGACGCUGAGGCACGAAGGCCAGGGGAGCGAACGGG